CGCACCUAUGCGUUUAAUUCAUAAACAGACUGUUGCACGAUCGUUGGUUAGCGUCUUGGGCCCGAAAAGUUGGUUAGAAAAGGCGCGGGAAUUUUUUGAAAUAACGUGCACGAUCGUGUUAGGUCGUCCUGAAAGGGAUAGGUAAUUUGAAACCCUAUUUUGUUUUAUUCUUUUUUUAUUUUAAAUAUUUUACAAUCCAAACUAAUAUUUACUGUAAGUAAAUGCUAAAUAAUAAAUAUCAGUUUGGAUUGUGAAAUAUCCUACUAAUAUUAUAAAGGCAAAAGUUUGGAUGUCUGGAUGUAAUGAUGUCUGGAUGUUUGUUACUCUUUCACGCAAAAACUACUGAACGGAUUUUGUUGAAACUUUACAGUAUUAUUGUUUAUAACCCAGAUUAACAUUAUGACGAUAUGUGGCACAUAAAUUUCAAUAAAUAAAUAAGUCGUGUCUAAAAAGCGCCAUCUAUCGUCAUUGGUUCAAAUCUACAGCACUGGACAAACUACGGUAUGACGUUCGUAAAUAUUCAUUCGGGGAAAGCCUUGAAACGCCAUGUAUCAACAUGGGUAAAACGAGGUAAAACAUCAUAUCUAACGGGGGUAAAACGAGGUCCACGCGAACGAAGUCGCGGGCGGCCGCUAGUUUCUAAUAGGUAGCUUUCCCUCCGCAACCUUAUUGGUAUUAAUUCCAUGUAUGUGUCUUUUAACUGAUUUCUGUUAAAUAUUUCAUGUAAAAUUUGUCCAGAUAUAACUUUAUUUUACAUCUGCAUCUGUAAGCAAGGAUUCAUGUUCUCCAGCCCAGAUGCCGAGUAAACAGAAUCGUCUUUCAGUGACGUGCAGCUGCCUCUAUAUUUGACCCACAGACCUAAUUUUUUAUUAUUUAUUUGUGUCAGUGUGCUCUUCUAAAGAGUGUAAGACGAUUGUAUGUAGGUACUAUUAAAAUGUAAUUUUAACUCAUUGGUUUUGUCCACAGAUAUGGAUAGAUGCAGCAUGUGAAAAAAGUUGUAUGAAGCCGAGCGUGCCACUUUUUAAACGUCAUUAGUGUCAUUUUAGCGAAUUUUAGUGAUUGCCGCAACGUAAAAAUAAUCGUAUCAUCGUACUGCAUUCGCAAAGUCAUCGAAAGAUAUCGUGUGACUCGAUUCGAAAAUUAAUUAAUUCCGAUAAAACUGAUAAUUUGUUAAAUACAAAACCAAAAACAUCUUUAUUUACCUUUUUAAAUAAAUUAAUUCUUACAAAUCGUCAAA